UUUAAACUUUUUUUUUUUUUUGGAUUUUCAAAACCUGAUUCUUCUGUGUGGCCUUUGCUGCCCUAGAACUCACUCUGUAGACCAGGCUGGCCUUGAAUGCAGAGAUUUGCCUGCCUCUGCCUCCCAGGUGCUGGGAUUAAAGAUGUGCACUACACGCCUGGCCUCCUGGCAUUCACUUUGUAGACCAGGCUGGCCUCUAACUCAGAAAUCCUCCUGCCUCUGCUUCCCGAGUGCUGGGAUUAAAGGCGUGCACCACCACGCCUGGCACAACACCUGGCCUUUUAAAACACUUUUUUUUUUUAGAAGAAGAAAACAUCACUUUGUGGGGAUAGAAUACAUGUAAAAGCCAGAAUACAACUUAGAUUCAAGGGUAACAUCCCUUUUUCAUGUAUCUAUUUUUGUAUUCAUUUGAGAAAUGCCAGCUACAUUUCUUCAAGAGAAUUUUUUAAAGAUUUAUUUAUUUUAUAUAUGUGAGUAUGCUGUUGCUGUCUUUAGACACACCAGAAAAGGACAUCUGAUCCCAUUACAGAUGGUUGUGAGCCACCAUGUGGUUGCUGGGAAUUGAACUCAGGACCUCUAGAAGUGUAGCCAGUGCUCUGAACCGCUAAUUCAUCUCUCCAGCCCAUUCUUCAAAAGUUUUAAAUUUAUAUUCUAAGAUACGAUUUCAUUUGUUCAAAUAUAUACCCCUCAGUGGUGUAAGUCUAUAAUCCCAGCAGUUAUAAAGUAAAGUGAGGUUAGAGGCCAUCUUUGGCUACAUAGUAAUUUCAAGGCUCACUAUAUGACCCCAUUUAUCAAAAAAAAAAAAAAAGUAGGGAUAUACAGAGAAAUCCUGUCUCAAACAAAACAAAACAAAAAAGUAGGGCCAGCAAGUAAAGGUACUCACUACAAAGCCUGUUAAUUUGAGUUGGAUAGAACCUGCAUGGUGGAAGGAGAGAAGGAACUGAUGAAAGUUGUCUUACCCCAUGCCCAUAUGUAUAUACACACACACAGGGUGAGGGGCUGGAGAAAAGUUUCGGCAGUUAGAGUGCCUGUUGCUUUUGCAGAAGACCUAAUUUCUAUCCCUAGCAUCAUUGUCAAGACUCAACCACUUAAUAAUUCCAAGUUCAGAGGAUUCUAUAUGGUCUCUGGCCUCCAUGGGCACCUACACACAAACAUACACAAAGAUAAGUCUUUUUAAAAAUAAAAUACUGCCUCCAGUAUACUAGGUAAACAGUCUACUACUGAGUAUGCCAUGCUUUCAAACAUAGACUAACUAUGGAAGCAGAGACUGAGCAGAACUAUUUCAAAACAACAAUGGCAACACAGGGCUUGUUGGUAUAGUGUGUGCCUAGCAUAUGAGAAGUCCUGGGUUUGAUCCCUCGAGUGAAAAAAAGACCUUAAGGAACUGGAGAGAUGAUUCUGGCGGUUAAGAGUGCUAGCUGCGCUGGGCAGUGGUGGCACACGCCUUUAAUCCCAGCACUUGGGAGGCAGAGGCAGAGGCAGGUGGAUUUCUGAGUUUGAGGCCAGCUACACAGUGAGUUCCAGGACAGCCAAACCCUGGCUCUCUACAGAGAAACCCUGUCUCCAAAAACC
rnacentral:lncRNA from 1 species